UGGUGGAGCGAUUUGUCUGGUCAACUCCGAUAACGAACGAGACUCUAGCUUACUAAAUAGUUCGGGGACCCCCACAAGAGGCCCCGCUUUAACUUCUUAGAGGGACAGGUGGCGUUUAGCCACACGAGAUUGAGCAAUAACA
rnacentral:rRNA from 1 species